rnacentral:rRNA from 1 species
AGUGAACGCUGGCGGUAGGCCUAACACAUGCAAGUCGAACGGCAGCACAGUAAGAGCUUGCUCUUACGGGUGGCGAGUGGCGGACGGGUGAGGAAUACAUCGGAAUCUACUUUUUCGUGGGGGAUAACGUAGGGAAACUUACGCUAAUACCGCAUACGACCUACGGGUGAAAGCAGGGGAUCUUCGGACCUUGCGCGAUAGAAUGAGCCGAUGUCGGAUUAGCUAGUUGGCGGGGUAAAGGCCCACCAAGGCGACGAUCCGUAGCUGGUCUGAGAGGAUGAUCAGCCACACUGGAACUGAGACACGGUCCAGGCUCCUACGGGAGGCAGCAGUGGGGAAUAUUGGACAAUGGGCGCAAGCCUGAUCCAGCCAUACCGCGUGGGUGAAGAAGGCCUUCGGGUUGUAAAGCCCUUUUGUUGGGAAAGAAAAGCAGCAGGUUAAUACCCCGCUGUUCUGACGGUACCCAAAGAAUAAGCCACGGCUAACUACGUG